GCAUAUAAUCAGAUUGCCACCAUAGAUCGACUACUUGAUGACCUAUCCCUUUCUGAUUGAGCAAGCAGAAGGGCUAUGGUCAUGAUGGUCUUCCCGAGUCCCAUAGCAUCCGCCAGAAUCUUUCAAAAGCACAAUCUAGUCAAAUCACCGUAAAUAACAAGAUUGAGUGACUUUAUAUUUCAAUAAAAUUGGGAUGCAUAAGGACAUACUCCUCCCCUGGCCAUUUGAAGUGUGCUUGGAAAUUCUACUGUAGCAUCACCUGAAAAUGUAUUCAAGUAGACAACAAGCUCCCUCUUGUCUGCUAGAUGAUAAGCCUCCCAACAUGGAUGAAGAGUUGUAGCUCCCUCCUCUGCACAUUUUCCCUUCUCCAGCUGAAUCAUCCAGUACAGAGCCUGCUUUUGGUAGGGUCGAAGUUCACACUGAAGCGUAGUAGGAGGAUCCAUUUCCUCUAACUCAGAGCAGUUCCCAACACCAACAAUAUUGUCAAGAUCGGCAUCUGAAAUGGACUCCUCAUUUUCAACUUCAUUUCCAUUUUUUGAUUGAUUCUUAGAAUUGUUGGCAUGUAACAGUGACACAGGAAUACCAGACCCAUCCUUUGAGUUCAAUGGUCGCUUCUUUGUAUACAAAUCAGCAGGUGUAAAUUCUGCCUUCUUAAAAGGGGUCAAUCCAAGCAAACGGAAUAAAUUUGGAAGAGGAUGAAUAAUUGUUUCCUCAUUAGAAUGGCUGGCAGCCUUAAGUGAGGUCUUCUGGUGCUUGCGGAACAUGGCACUGUCAAUGUAUACGCUUAUUGACAACAGAAUGGUAUCCAUUAUCCCCAGUACAUCAGGAGCCGAUUUGCAACAGCCCUCAACUCUAACCUUCUUAUCCCUUACAAGCGGCAACAGAGAUCGAGCCCACUCAUUAGGUAUUCGACCAACUUCUCCACCAUUUCUAGUGGAAAAUCUCACUAUCUCCGAACAGGAUGCAGCUGCUUGCCUUCCCUUCCCAAAAACCUUCCCGGGAGAAGGUGAACUGGAAUUAUUACUCUUAGUUGGAAAUGUGAAUAAAACUUCAUCACCAGCCUUCACCUUCCUCCCUUUACACGUUGACAACCCCGCCACAACACCACUACCCACAUACCACCACUCACUCCCAGCAGAAUCUGAGAGGGUCAAAUUCUCACCAUUAACAUCACCCUCACCCUCACCCUCACCCUCACCCUCACCCUCAGUACUUCCGCUGCAAGAAACAGCCAAGUUGUCGCCCAAAUUGCGAUUCCCAUUCUCCUUAUCUACCAAUUUCGGCUUGUCAGGGGCAUGUUUAGGCUUAGACUUUGUGCUUGGAUUUGGGGUUUUGGAAAUUUGGGGUUUAAAUUUGGAAUUGAAAUUAGGGGUGUCGAAGAUGAUGUUGACAGCGGCAGUAGGGUCAUACUUUGCAAGAUGGAGAGCUCUGAUGAUGUCCAUAUCGGAGAAGUCACAGCCAACAAUAGACCGAACAGUGGAGAGCAGCUCGUCAGUAACUUUGUUUCCCAUUAGUCCGUUAUUGGCAAAUAAGGCAAAACCCUAAUCCUAAAUUUCUAGACGAUAUUGGAUUUUGAAUUAGUUGGGGUUUUGGAGGAAAAUGGAGAUCGAUGGAUCGAUUGGUGCCAAAACGCGCAGACUGUGCAAGUGAAGAUAGCUUUUGAAAUGAAC
rnacentral:misc_RNA from 1 species